UCUUCUUGUUAGAACUCUCUUCCUCUAAUAUCUCCAUUCUCCUUCACAAAUGGCUUCUUUCUUAAAGUUGUUCAUUAUCUCUCUCUCUCUCUCUCAAACCCUAGUCACUCCUAAAAAAACCUCCAUGAAUACCCUUUACAAAUAAUCUCAAAGUACCAAAAAAAUCAGCACAAUAACAGUACCAAAAUCUCUUAUUCCAUAAAAAACAAUACCAAAAUCUCUACAAAAAAAAAGCACAAAAAAUAUAUCUUUCAAAAUCGAUAGAAACCCAAAAAAAAACAAGCAAAAAUCCAAGCCAAACAACACACGUAAAUACCUUUGUAAAUUCUUAAUGAAAUCUCCUAAAAAUCCUAACAAAAACCCAAAAAAACCAACAAAAUUCCCAACCAAGCAACAUAGAAAAUUAACACAACCCCAACUGUCAACCUCAUAAGAGAAACUGGAAAAAGCACACAAUAUCACAAGAUUGGCAUCAUCAUCUCCUGAAGAAACACUACCCAAAUCUAAAAUCCAAAGGCCAUGCCGCGAUCCAUGACGCUACCACAAAGAGGAUGAGAGAGUUUGUUGAAGGUGAGAUCUAGAUCGAAACACCACCACCACCACCAUCGUGUGGAUUCCGAUUUGAGAGAGAGAGAGAGAGGGAUGAGAGUAAGUUGACGGCUUCAAUCUUGCGAUGGGAAUCGGGAAGAUCCUUGCAUGGUGGUGUUGUUGAUGCCGAUGACCAAGCCAUGGGUUUCGCCAAGGCUAAGGUUUGGUUAGAGAGAGAGUUAUGAGAAAGAAAACUCAGAGAAGAGAGGGAGAAAAGGGGAAAGGAACGAGACAGAAGAGAGAGAGAGAGAGGAAGAAGAGAAAAUCAAAGUAACAGUGUUUGGCUGUUAGGGACAAAGUUGUCUUUUGAGGACCAAAUUGGUGGAUUUUAAAAUGUUUUGGAUCUAGUUGGUAUUAUCACAAAUCUCAGGGUUGCUUUUUGGAUGAGUUCCGUUAAAACUUAUUGGACAUAUUGCAUGAGUUUCAUUUACUCAGCAAUGGAAUGUCUUCUGCCACUACUUAUGAGUCCACUUCUAGUAGCCAUAUAUGCGAUAUGGAUCGGUGUGUGGAAAGGACCUCUCUAUCUAUCCAUAAUUUCGGUAGGAGGUUCUAUGGAUGUCAGCAGUGGUCGCUGGACUUCGAUUAGGCAUGUAACUUCUUUAAAUGGUUGGACAAGAACACAUGCCCACGUGGCCGUGCAACAACACCACUUGUCCAUGAAAGGUUUACGAGAUAUACGAUCGAAGCCGUAGCUGCAAGAAAUGAAAGGGAUGAGGCUCAUGCAAGGGAAGCAGAAGCACGGGAGCUCCUAAGGAUAGCAAAGCGCAAGGCUGAAAAAACUAAGCUUGCACUCCAGAUUGCUGAAGACAAGGUCUACAAGUAUAAGCUAGCUUUAUUUUUGUCUUGGACUGUACUUGGGGUUUAUUUUGUAUUCUCUACUGUUUUUGGGGCCAUGACCAUUCGCAACUGCGUCUGUCAUGACCCAUUGACGGUCACGUGUGUAAUGUACAUUACUAAUCACAUGCCCUAUUUUGAGUUCCUAUAUAUUUUGUAGGAUGAUGUAACACACAUAUAUGUCUGUUAUGUACAUUACUGGUCACGUGUGUUAUGCAUUUAAAUUUUUUUUUUUUUAAUGGU